UAGCUCUUCUAACCCAAUGGUAUGUCAGUA
rnacentral:piRNA from 1 species